ensembl:lncRNA LINC01503 long intergenic non-protein coding RNA 1503
CUUCUGCUGGGGGCAUGUGCAGGCAUGGAGACUGCCCGGCCCCUUCCUGUCCUGUUGGGGCAUGAUUUUCAACAGAGGGAGGAUUCUGGGCAUGUUUUCCUUUGGAAGUCUCACCAGGCUGAGCAGGACUUAGAGGAACUCCGGCUACGUUUGCUGUCCCAACAAAUAGACCAGGGUUCCCUAAGUGUCGCUUCCUCCAAGAAGCCCUCCCUGAUGAGUUGAGCCACUUUAGUUUGUGCUCAGGCUCACCCUGCACGUCUUGGUUGCUCUCAUCACUGUAAUGAUCUAAAACACACGUCUGCUCAUGAGACCCGCAUCCCACCCCCGAUGCUGGGGCCGCUCUUGGAUUUUCAUGCCUGCUGCCAGCACCCAGGGGGAGCUCCGGAAAUGUCUGCUGGGGGCUCGGAAUACCCACCUUUCUGGUAAUGCAGCCCAGCGGGUCCCAGCCUCGUUUUCCAGCCCUCACUCAAAAUGGAGUCGCUCUGGUUCGAACGCCUCUGACAAGUGUGUACCUACGUGUCAGGGAGCCUGCUCACAUGACCGUGUGGAGAAAGUUCUUUCCCUGAGGACCAUCUGGAGUGGACGCGUGCACUACCCCUCUCUGAAUACACCCUCCCCACGAGGCCCUCUGGAGCAUCCUGUAGAGCCAGCCCCUACCCAGAGACCCUGAGCCCAGAGAAUGCGCUGGGUGGUGAGCCUGGGGACGAAUGCAGAGCCCUAGGUCUCCUCUCCAGAAAGACCGGAUUUUGCCAUGUUGGCCAGGCUGGUCUUGAACUCCUGACCUCAAGUGAUCCACCUGCCUCGGCCUCCCAAAGUGCAGGGAUUACAGGUGUGAGCCACUGCACCCGGCCUCAGGCAGGUAUUUUUACCAGCCGAAUACUCUUGCACUGUGCACUCUUCGUGUUCAUCAUCAGUCCCCCGGAUGGGUGUUUAAGGCAUUUCCAAAGCUCUGUUAUUAAAAACACGAUGCAAUGA